UACGUAGGGUGCAAGCGUUGUCCGGAAUUAUUGGGCGUAAAAGAGCUCGUAGGCGGUUUUGUUGCGUCGGCUGUGAAAAUCCCGAGGCUCAACCUCGGGUCUGCAGUCGAUACGAGCAAACUAGAGUGUUGCAGGGGAGACUGGAAUUCCUGGUGUAGCGGUGAAAUGCGCAGAUAUCAGGAGGAACACCGAUGGCGAAGGCAGGUCUCUGGGCAUUAACUGACGCUGAG
rnacentral:rRNA from 1 species